AAAAAGGUUUUUUUAAAAGCCACUCCAAAAAAAAAAAAAAUCCAUGG
rfam:Oryctolagus cuniculus chromosome 20, whole genome shotgun sequence.